rnacentral:rRNA from 1 species
CGGUUAAAAAGCUCGUAGUUGGAUUUCUGUUGAGGACGUCCGGUCCACACUAUGUGCGUGUAUCUGGUUCGGCCUUGGCAUCCUCUUGAGGAACGUAUCUGCGCUUGAUUGCGUGGAGCGGUAUUCAAGACUUUUACUUUGAGGAAAUUAGAGUGUUCACGGCAGGCAAGCGCCUUGAAUACAUUAGCAUGGAAUAAUAAUAUAGGAUCUUGGUUCUAUUUUGUUGGUUUCUAGAGCUAAGGUAAUGAUUAAUAGGGAUAAUUGGGGGCAUUUGCAUUAACGCGUCAGAGGUGGAAUUCUUGGAUUGCGUUACGACAAACUACUGCGAAAGCAUUUGCCAAGGAUGUUUUCAUUGAUCAAGAACGAAAGUAUGGGGAUCGAAGAUGAUUAGAUACCGUCGUAGUCUAUACCAUAAACUAUGCCGACUAGGGAUUGGAGGUCGUUCUUUUUAUGACUCCUUCAGCACCUCAUGAGAAAUCAAAGUCUUUGGGUUCCGGGGGGAGUAUAGUCGCAAGGCUGAAACUUAAAGGAAUUGACGGAAGGGCACCACCAGGAGUGGAGCCUGCGGCUUAAUUUGACUCAACACGGGGAUACUCACCAGGUCCAGACAUAGUAAGGAUUGACAGAUUGAUAGCUCUUUC